UGAGGAAUAUUGGUCAAUGGGCGAGAGCCUGAACCAGCCACGUCGCGUGAAGGAAGACUGACCUUACGGUUUGUAAACUUCUUUUGUAGAGGGGUAAUGGCAGAUACGUGUAUUUGCGUGAAAGUACUCUACGAAUAAGCAUCGGCUAACUCCGUGCCAGCAGCCGCGGUAAUACGGGGGAUGCGAGCGUUAUCCGGAAUUAUUGGGUUUAAAGGGUGCGCAGGUGGCUAAUCAGGUCAGUGGUGAAAAGCUAUGGCUCAACCAUGGUCUUGCCAUUGAAACCGUAUAGCUAGAGAGGAGACGAGGUAGGCGGAAUGUGUGGUGUAGCGGUGAAAUGCAUAGAUAUCACAAAGAACUCCGAUUGCGAAGGCAGCUUACCAGGCUUUAUCUGACACUUAGGCACGACAGCGUGGGGAUCAAACAGG
rnacentral:rRNA from 1 species